AACGCGAAGAACCUUACCUGGGCUCGAAGCGCAGUGGACCGGGGUAGAAAUAUCCCUUUCUCGCAAGAGACUGCUGCGGAGGUGCUGCAUGGCUGUCGUCAGCUCGUGUCGUGAGAUGUUGGGUUAAGUCCCGCAACGAGCGCAACCCUUAUCCCUAGUUGCCAUCGGGUCAAGCCGGGCACUCUAGUGAAACCGCCCAGGAUAACUGGGAGGAAGGUGGGGAUGACGUCAAGUCCUCAUGGCCUUUAUGUCCAGGGCUACACACGUGCUACAAUGGUCGGUACAAAGGGUUGCAACCUCGCAAGAGCAAGCUAAUCCCAAAAAACCGUCCUCAGUUCGGAUCGGAGUCUGCAACUCGACUCCGUGAAGUUGGAAUCGCUAGUAAUCGCGGAUCAGAACGCCGCGGUGAAUACGUUCCCGGGCCUUGUACACACCGCUGUA
rnacentral:rRNA from 1 species